GACGGAGGGGGCAAGCGUUGUCCGGACUUACUGGGCGUAAAGGGUGCGUAGGCGGCCUGCUGCGUCGGUGCUGAAAGCGCCCGGCUUAACCGGGCGAGGCGUGCCGAUACGAGCGGGCUGGAGCCUUGGCGAGGGUGGCGGAACUCCUGGUGUAGUGGUGAAAUGCGUAGAGAUCAGGAAGAACACCCGUGGCGCAAGCGGCCACCUGGCCAAGAGCUGACGCUGAGGCACGAGAGCGUGGGGAGCGAACCGG
rnacentral:rRNA from 1 species